GGGCUUGACAUCCCACGAACCUGCCCGAAAGGGUAGGGUGCCCGCAAGGGAGCGUGGAGACAGGUGGUGCAUGGCUGUCGUCAGCUCGUGUCGUGAGAUGUUGGGUUAAGUCCCGCAACGAGCGCAACCCUCACCCCUAGUUGCCACCGGGUAAUGCCGAGCACUCGAGGGGAACUGCCAGCGUCAAGCUGGAGGAAGGCGGGGAUGACGUCAAGUCAUCAUGCCCCUUACGCCCUGGGCUACACACGUGCUACAAUGGCCAGUACAAAGGGAUGCGAGACCGUAAGGUGGAGCUAAUCCCAAAAAGCUGGUCUAAGUUCAGAUUGCAGUCUGCAACUCGACUGCAUGAAGGAGGAAUCGCUAGUAAUCGCGCAUCAGCACGGCGCGGUGAAUACGUUCCCGGGCCUUGUACACACCGCCCGUCACACCACGAAAGCUGGCUGUACUCGAAGUCGCUGAGA
rnacentral:rRNA from 1 species